rnacentral:rRNA from 1 species
AUUGAACGCUGGCGGCAGGCCUAACACAUGCAAGUCGAACGAGUGGCGGACGGGUGAGUAAUGUCUGGGAAAAUGCCCGAUGGAGGGGGAUAACUACUGGAAACGGUAGCUAAUACCGCAUACCAUCGGAUGUGCCCAGAUGGGAUUAGCGUGUGGGUGGGGUAAAGGCCUACCAAGGCGACGAUCCGUAGCUGGUCUGAGAGGAUGAUCAGUCACACUGGAACUGAGACACGGUCCAGACUCCUACGGGAGGCAGCAGUGGGGAAUAUUGGACAAUGGGCGAAAGCCUGAUCCAGCCAUGCCGCGUGUGUGAAGAAGGUCUUCGGAUUGUAAAGCACUUUAAGUGGGGAGGCGUUACCAACAGAAGAAGCACCGGCUAACUUCGUGCCAGCCGCCGCGGUAAUUC